rnacentral:misc_RNA from 1 species
AGCAUUGCUAUUUGAGCUAUUGUUCAAAAAAAAAAGCACAGAUCUUAUAUAUGUUAAAUCACAUGCCACUAAAAUUUAUUUUAGAUUAAAUUUGACACAUUUAAGUCAUAACAUUUCUAAAAUAGUUAAACAACAUUUUCAAACCGCUUUUUCUAGCAUCUAAAGGAGAACUUUUCUGAAAAACAGUUCUUGCUACUCCAAAAAGCAAUUCCAAACAGGUACAGAUAUCAAAAAGAAAAGAAACA